UACGUAGGGUGCGAGCGUUGUCCGGAAUUACUGGGCGUAAAGAGCUCGUAGGUGGUUUGUCGCGUUGUUCUUGAAAACUCACAGCUUAACUGUGGGCGUGCGGGCGAUACGGGCAGACUGGAGUACUGCAGGGGAGACUGGAAUUCCUGGUGUAGCGGUGGAAUGCGCAGAUAUCAGGAGGAACACCGGUGGCGAAGGCGGGUCUCUGGGCAGUAACUGACGCUGAGGAGCGAAAGCGUGGGGAGCGAACAGG
rnacentral:rRNA from 1 species